rnacentral:misc_RNA from 1 species
GAUGAAGAACGCAGCGAAAUGCGAUAAGUAAUGUGAAUUGCAGAAUUCAGUGAAUCAUCGAAUCUUUGAACGCACAUUGCGCCCGCCAGCACUCUGGCGGGCAUGCCUGUUCGAGCGUCAUUUCAACCAUCAAGCCCCCAGGGGCUUGUGCUGGGGCCCUGCGGCUGCCCGCAGGCCCUGAAAACCAGUGGCGGGCUCGCUAGUCACACCGAGCGCAGUAGCACAUCUCGCUCAGGGCGUGCGGCGGGCUCCUGCCGUGAAACCCCCCACUGUAACCCCAAAGGUUGACCUCGGAUCAGGUAGGAAUACCCACUGAACUUAAGCAUAUCAAUAAGCGGAGGA